GACGAACGCUGGCGGCGUGCUUAACACAUGCAAGUCGAACGGGAUCCGGGCUUUCGGGUUUGGUGUGAGUGGCGAACGGGUGAGUAACACGUGAGUAACCUGCCCCCUUCUUUGGGAUAACGUCGGGAAAUCGGCGCUAAUACUGGAUAUUCUUGCUGCAUCGCAUGGUGUGGUUUGGAAAGGGUUUCUGGUGGGGGAUGGGCUCGCGGCCUAUCAGCUUGUUGGUGGGGUGAUGGCCUACCAAGGCUUUGACGGGUAGCCGGCCUGAGAGGGUGUCCGGCCACACUGGGACUGAGACACGGCCCAGACUCCUACGGGAGGCAGCAGUGGGGAAUAUUGCACAAUGGGCGCAAGCCUGAUGCAGCGACGCCGCGUGAGGGAUGACGGCCUUCGGGUUGUAAACCUCUUUCAGUAUGGAACAAGGAUCCUUCUUUUGGGGGGUUUGAGGGUACGUGCAGAAGAAGCGCCGGCUAACUACGUG
rnacentral:rRNA from 1 species